UCAACUUGUACAUAAAUGGGAAACUUCCCUCUUCUUCUCCAUUGCAAUCCCAAGAAGCCCCAACCACCGUGGCGCUUUAUUCUCUCGCCUGAGCGCUUCACCGGUGGCAGACGGUGUCGUGAUUCCUAUCAUCCUAACCUUCACAUCAUCUCUCUAGAGAAGCUGAGAUGGGGCAGAGCAUGAGCUGUGGAACGAGACCGGAGCACGGUAUAUUCGCCUCCGUGCAGUGCGGCGACAUCGUCACUGUGCGUCGAGUGAUGACUUCGGAUCCGAGUCUGUUGCAUCAGACCACUCCUUAUGAUCGUCACUCCGUUCUUCACGUCGCCGCUGCUAGUGGCCAGAUCGAGAUUUUGACCUUGCUUUUGGAACGAUUUGAGAAUCCAGAUGUGUUGAAUCGUCACAAGCAGACUCCGUUAAUGUUGGCUGCUAUGUAUGGAAGGAUCUCUUGCGUGAAGAAGCUCGCUGAAGUUGGAGCUAAUGUUUUGAUGUUUGAUUCUGUCAAUAGAAGAACAUGCUUGCACUACGCAGCUUACUAUGGACACGCUGAUUGUGUUCAAGCCAUUCUCUCCGCUGCUCAAUCCAGUCCCGUUGCUGUUCAUUGGGGAUAUGCUAGAUUUGUGAAUAUUAGAGAUGACAAAGGAGCAACACCGUUGCAUCUAGCUGCCAGGCAAAGACGGCCUGAAUGUGUGAAUGUUCUGUUGGAUAGUGGUUCUCUUGUUUGUGCUAAUACUAGCCUAUAUGGGUCUCCAGGGAGCACACCUCUUCAUUUGGCAGCAAGAAGCGGAUCUAUCGAUUGCGUCAGAAAAUUGCUUGCUUGGGGUGCUGACCGUCUUCAAAGAGACACUUCUGGGCGGAUACCCUAUGUUGUUGCCAUGAAACACAAGCACGGGGCAUGUGGAGCGUUGCUUAACCCGUCUUCUGCAGAGCCACUGGUCUGGCCAUCUCCUUUAAAGUUCAUCAGCGAGCUUAAUGACGAGGCAAAACUGCUCUUAGAACAGGCACUGAUGGAUGCUAACAGAGAGAGAGAGGAAACCAUUCUCAAAGGAACUGCUUACUCACCAUCUUUCUCUGGCACCGCCUCAGGUGAUAACAUGUCUGAGAUGAGUGACUCGGAACUCUGUUGCAUUUGCUUUGAGCAAGUAUGCACUAUUGAAGUCAAAGACUGUGGUCACCAAAUGUGUGCGCAAUGCACACUUGCACUGUGCUGUCACAACAAACCUAACCCAACGACCUCAACCGUGACACCACCGGUGUGCCCGUUCUGUAGAAGUGUCAUCGUACGGUUAGUCGUCGCCCAGAACAACAACAACGACAAGAGCAAGAGCCAAUAUGAAGUUGUUGAUCAUGAGGCAGGUGAUGUAAACUCCUCAAAACUCAGAAAGCAUAGAAGAUCGAUAAACCUUGGCGAAGAAAGUAGCAGUUUCAUGGGUCUUUCAAGCAUUGGAUCGUUCGGAAGGAUAACCGGCCGUAGCUCGGGAAGGAUCGCAGCCGACAACGAGCUGAUGAACCCAUUUUGUGAGGAUCGGGUCCACAUAUCAGUAAGGGGUGAAUGUUUAAAAGAUAGAUGAAAUUUAUUAUGUAGAUUGAAAUAAGGAAAAAUGGCGUUGAAUUAUGUAAUGCAAUGAUUUGUUGUUUCUUUGAUAAGUUUGUCAAAAAAGGAAUUUGUUUGUUGUUAUUAUUUGGUCACUUUUAUUGUAUGAAAGGUAAUUUGAUAAAUCUUCUCUUUUGUCUCA